rnacentral:rRNA from 1 species
AUCGAUGAAGAACGCAGCGAAAUGCGAUAAGUAAUGUGAAUUGCAGAAUUCAGUGAAUCAUCGAAUCUUUGAACGCACCUUGCGCCCUCUGGUAUUCCGGAGGGCAUGCCUGUUUGAGUGUCAUGUAGACUCAAUCCCUCGGGUUUCCGAGGAGAUUGGACUUGGGUGUUGCCGCUCUGCCGGCUCGCCUUAAAAGACUUAGCGGGAUAGCACCGUAGUCGGCGUAAUAAGUUUCGUCGGUGAAGGUUGUGAUAACUGCUUACAAUCGCCCUUGGGCAAUUUUUGACUCUGACCUCAAAUCAGGUAGGACUACCCGCUGAACUUAAGCAUAUCAAUAAGCGGAGGAAAAGAAACUAACAAGGAUUCCCUUAGUAGCGGCGAGCGAAGCGGGAAGAGCUCAAAUUUGAAAGCUGGCGUCCUUCGGGCGUCCGCAUUGUAAUCUAUAGAGGCGUUUUCUGUGCUGGACCGUGUCCAAGUCCCUUGGAACAGGGUAUCAAAGAGGGUGACAAUCCCGUACUUGACACGACAACCAGUGCUCUGUGAUACGUCUUCUACGAGUCGAGUUGUUUGGGAAUGCAGCUCAAAAUGGGUGGUGAAUUCCAUCUAAAGCUAAAUAUUGGCGAGAGACCGAUAGCGAACAAGUACCGUGAGGGAAAGAUGAAAAGCACUUUGGAAAGAGAGUUAAACAGUAUGUGAAAUUGUUGAAAGGGAAACGAUGGAGGUCAGUCGUGUCUGUGGGAUUCAGCCGUCUCUGGCGGUGUACUUCCCACAGACGGGUCAACAUCAGUUUUGGUCGGCGGAUAAAGGCAGGAGGAAGGUGGCACCCCCGGGUGUGUUAUAGCCUCUUGUUGCAUACGCUGGCCGAGACUGAGGAAUGCAGCUCGCCUUUAUGGCCGGGGUUCGCCCACGUUCGAGCUUAGGAUGUUGACAUAAUGGCCUUCAACGACCCGUCUUGAAACACGG